AUGAGAACAAAACAAUUUUUUCUUAGUACUUUAUAUUUUUUUUUCAUAUCACUAUACUCAUUUACAAUUAGGUCUCGCGCACCUCCUAUUUCACGACUCAAAGAAACUAGCAUGACUUUAUGUCUUCGUGCUCACAUUCUCUUCUCCUUGAACUUUGAUCCUUCCAA